rnacentral:rRNA from 1 species
GCUUGCACCACCUGAUUAGUGGCGAACGGGUGAGUAACACGUGAGUAACCUGCCCUUCACUUCGGGAUAACCUCGGGAAAUCGUGGCUAAUACCGGAUAUGAGCUCCUUCCGCAUGGCGGGGGUUGGAAAGAUUUAUCGGUGAAGGAUGGACUCGCGGCCUAUCAGUUUGUUGGUGAGGUAAUGGCUCACCAAGGCGAUGACGGGUAGCCGGCCUGAGAGGGCGACCGGCCACACUGGGACUGAGACACGGCCCAGACUCCUACGGGAGGCAGCAGUGGGGAAUAUUGCACAAUGGGCGAAAGCCUGAUGCAGCGACGCCGCGUGGGGGAUGACGGCCUUCGGGUUGUAAACCCCUUUCAGUAGGGAAGAAGCGAAAGUGACGGUACCUGCAGAAGAAGCGCCGGCUAACUACGUGCCAGCAGCCGCGGUAAUACGUAGGGCGCAAGCGUUGUCCGGAAUUAUUGGGCGUAAAGAGCUCGUAGGUGGCUUGUCGCGUCUGCCGUGAAAACCCGAGGCUCAACCUCGGGCGUGCGGUGGGUACGGGCAGGCUAGAGUGUGGUAGGGGAGACUGGAACUCCUGGUGUAGCGGUGAAAUGCGCAGAUAUCAGGAAGAACACCGAUGGCGAAGGCAGGUCUCUGGGCCAUUACUGACACUGAGGAGCGAAAGCAUGGGUAGCGAACAGGAUUAGAUACCCUGGUAGUCCAUGCCGUAAACGUUGGGCACUAGAUGUGGGGGACAUUCCACGUUUUCCGCGUCGUAGCUAACGCAU